rnacentral:rRNA from 1 species
AGGCCGAUUUCGGGAUUAUUGGGCGUAAGAGCUCGUAGGCGGUCUGUUGCGUCUGCUGUGAAAACCCGGGGCUUAACCCCUGGCUUGCAGUGGAUACGGACAGACUAGAGGUAGGUAGGGGAGAAUGGAAUUCCCGGUGUAGCGGUGAAAUGCGCAGAUAUCGGGAGGAACACCGGUGGCGAAGGCGGUUCUCUGGGCCUUACCUGACGCUGAGGAGCGAAAGCGUGGGGAGCGAACAGGAUUAGAUACCCUGGUAGUCCACGCUGUAAACGUUGGGCGCUAGGUGUGGGGUCCUUCCACGGAUUCCGUGCCGCAGCUAACGCAUUAAGCGCCCCGCCUGGGGAGUACGGCCGCAAGGCUAAAACUCAAAGGAAUUGACGGGGGCCCGCACAAGCGGCGGAGCAUGUGGAUUAAUUCGAUGCAACGCGAAGAACCUUACCAAGGUUUGACAUGCAGGGAGAAGCCGUAGAGAUACGGUGUCCGUAAGGGCCCUGCACAGGUGGUGCAUAGCUGUCGUCAGCUCGUGUCGUGAGAUGUUGGGUUAAGUCCCGCAACGAGCGCAACCCUCGUCCUAUGUUGCCAGCGGAUUAUGCCGGGGACUCAUAGGAGACUGCCGGGGUCAACUCGGAGGAAGGUGGGGAUGACGUCAAGUCAUCAUGCCCCUUAUGUCUUGGGCUGCAAACAUGCUACAAUGGCCGGUACAGAGGGCUGCGAGACCGCAAGGUGGAGCGAAUCUCAAAAAGCCGGUCUCAGUUCGGAUUGGGGUCUGCAACUCGACCCCAUGAAGUCGGAGUCGCUAGUAAUCGCAGAUCAGCAACGCUGCGGUGAAUACGUUCCCGGGCCUUGUACACACCGCCCGUCACACCACGAAAGCCUGUUGUACCCGAAGUAGGUGCGCUAACCCGCAAGGGAGGCAGCCUCCUAAGGUAUGGCCGGUAAUUGGGGUGAAGUCGUAACAAGGUAACC